UACGGAGGGUGCGAGCGUUGUCCGGAAUUAUUGGGCGUAAAGGGUGCGUAGGUGGCUUCUUAAGCGUGCGGUGAAAGCCUGGGGCUCAACCUCGGGUCGGCCGUGCGAACUGGGGGGCUGGAGCACUGUAGAGGCAGGCGGAAUUCCGGGUGUAGCGGUGGAAUGCGUAGAGAUCCGGAAGAACACCGGUGGCGAAGGCGGCCUGCUGGGCAGUUGCUGACACUGAGGCGCGACAGCGUGGGGAGCAAACAGG
rnacentral:rRNA from 1 species